AAGUGGUUAGAUUGCAACAUUGACAUGAGUAGUCAUUUUGAUGUGUAAAGUAAUCUAAUCACUUAUAUAAGCUCAAAUUAAAAUAAAUUAAUUAUAAUUUGACUAACACUCUCUCCAAAUUUAACAAGUUCAAUCAUCAUUGAACAUCAGUAUUAUAGCUCCAGAAUCAAGCCAAACAGAUAGAAACUGAGAAUGCCCUUAAUCUCUGAAGUUUGCUGUCAAAGUUUCUUCUGCAAAAUAUUCCUUCCUUGCAGUUUCCGCUGCGCAAAAUCUCACCUUCAGAAACAAAUGAUUAGUUGAAAUAAACAAAAAUAUGCAGAAGUGCAGAAAAGCAGAAUAUAGUAUCAAAGAGCAGUAGAAUGAUUCAUUUCAAAUGGGUUUCAGUUCAUAGUUUUACUAGUCAAUCAAAUAUUCAGAUAACAGUCAUGAGACGAGGAGGGAAAUGGAAUUAGGAUGAUGUGAUGAUAGUCAGCACUACGUGCCAAUAAACAGAUUGGGCUAACAUGACAUUGGUUAAAGCAGUGUCACCUGUGAUGAAGGAUGAUAAACAGAAAAUAUGCCUGCAAAGGUUGGAGCAUUAGCGUACAAAAAGAAAUUUGAACUGUGAAGCAUUAAAGGCAUACUUGAUACAAAAUGACAACUGAAUUGAGUAUAUGACAAUAAGUAGAGGGAACAAAUACCCUGAAUUGAGCUUCGCCAAUGCCUUUUCAACUAGAAAGACACACAACUUCUCAUUCUCAAUAGGAUCAUGCACCUGAUAUCACCCAUUAUAUGCUUAUUAUUAGAAUCCACACCAUAAGCAAUGAUUGACGCCAUAUUCAAAUGAAUCGUAGUUUGAGUUAUGAAAUUUAUAGAAAACAAGGUUGUUGGGAUCUAAACCAUUUAUGCAGUCAUCAGUAAAAAAAUGUUACUAGAAGCUGGGCACCACAUUGUAAGAGAAUAACAAUAUGUAUAAGAGGGGAGAUCUAGGAAAAUGAAAAAACACCUUACCAGAAAUUAUUCCAACAUCUAUAAUAAAAAUAUCUUAACUAAGAUAUAUUUUAGUUUCAAUAAUGAACCCCAACUAGUGAGGAGGCUUUCUUGAGUUGAUUAGAUUGAUGAUUUAGAAAAGCAGGUGAGGCUCCCCAUUUACAAGGUCAAUAUUGUGGAUUAUGUUUUCAAUGGCAAUGCAGACCUAAAAAUGGCUAAACAUAUACACAAAAUACGCAUUUCUUCUUUCUUUUGUGACUGAAAAGAAAAAUAAAUACAUUGUACAUUUAUGUGACAGUUGAUCAAAUGAAAUAACAGUUUCCUACAAAGCAAAGAGAUUUGUAAAAUGAGAAAACAGGCAAAUUCAACCACAGAACUUACACCAGGGAAGUGCUUGGAUGGCACCACUACGAGCACUGGUCUAUCAAAGAUAUCAAGAAAGUCAUGCGCAUAGGCUUUUCCAGUGUCUGCUA
rnacentral:misc_RNA from 1 species